rnacentral:rRNA from 1 species
GACGAACGCUGGCGGCGUGCUUAACACAUGCAAGUCGUACGGUAAGGCCCUUUCGGGGGUACACGAGUGGCGAACGGGUGAGUAACACGUGAGUAACCUGCCCACAACUUUGGGAUAACGCUAGGAAACUGGUGCUAAUACUGGAUAUGUGCUCCUGCUGCAUGGUGGGGGUUGGAAAGCUCCGGCGGUUGUGGAUGGACUCGCGGCCUAUCAGCUUGUUGGUGGGGUAGUGGCCUACCAAGGCGGCGACGGGUAGCCGGCCUGAGAGGGUGACCGGCCACAUUGGGACUGAGAUGCGGCCCAGACUCCUACGGGAGGCAGCAGUGGGGAAUAUUGCACAAUGGGCGCAAGCCUGAUGCAGCAACGCCGCGGGCGGGAUGACGGCCUUCGGGUUGUAAACCGCUUUCAGCAGGGACGAAGCUUUUUGUGACGGUACCUGCAGAAGAAGCACCGGCUAACUACGUG